GCUUAUGUGUCCGAUCCCGUGUAUUCCCGAACAUUUAUCUUGAUCCUAUUGAAGCAGGCGAAGAAGGGCCACUUUAGCACCAAUCCAAGCCUAUCCCCAGCGGUCCAGUAUCAUGUCGCGUCACUCCCGCCUCUCACCUUCCACUGGCACUCUGAAAGCUACACACCUGCCUCUGUGAAACCACUCUCCCAAAAUGGUCGUCUUUCAGUGCACCAUGACCACAGGGAGAGAGGCAGGGAGAGAGGGCCAGUGACUGAGAGUUAGCGAGGCAUGGGAAGGAAGGGAGAUGCAUUGUGAGACGGAAAGGCAGGAAAGAAUGUAUGAAAAUGAGGAGAGGGGAACGGUAUGAGAGGAGAGAGAAGGGAGGAAGUAUGCAAAGGAUUGAAAUAUGUGCACUGAGUGAAUAGGAUGAAAAA